GGCAGUGUGGCCGAAUGGAAAGAUCAUGGACCUGGGAGUCAGGGGACCCGGGUUCUAAUCCCGGCUCUGCCA
rnacentral:tRNA from 1 species